CAAAUGAAUUAAUGCAUAAAAUCAAAUCAAAACAAAUAUGUCGUUUUAGCAAUUAAAAAAUUAUACACUAAUGUUUCACAUUAUCGUUAGAUAUACAGUACCUUCCAAAAGUAUUCACCCCUGCCAAUAAUGUCACAUUUUGAUGAAAUACAAAGAACAUAAAAAAAAUUAAUGAACUUGUUUUGAUUCAAAACUCUAAUGACCAAACUUAACACUGUUAUAUGUGAAUGAGCUUGAAUGUCAGCGAAACCCGCAAAUAAUAUAUAUAUAUGUAUUGAAAUUUGCUGAUGAUUGCAUAAAUAUUCUGUC